AACGAACGCUGGCGGCGCGUCUUAAGCAUGCAAGUCGAGCGGUAAGUUGGAAGCUUGCUUCUAACCUAGAGCGGCGGACUGGUGAGUAACGCGUGGGUGACGUACCUCUGUGACGGGGACAGCUCCUAGAAAUAGGAGAUAAUACCGGAUACGCUGCAUGUUGUCAGAGGACAUGCAGGAAAGGAUCUUUUGAUUCGCACAGAGAGCGGCCCGCGUACUAUUAGCUUGUUGGUGAGGUAACGGCCCACCAAGGCGACGAUAGUUACCCGGCCUAAGAGGGUGAUCGGGCACAUUGGGACUGAGAUACGGCCCAGACUCCUACGGGAGGCAGCAGCUAAGAAUAUUCCGCAAUGGACGAAAGUCUGACGGAGCGACGCCGCGUGGAUGAUGAAGGGCCCGGAAGGUUGUAAAAUCCUUUUAUGACUGAGGAAUAAGCAGGGUGAGAGAAACGCCCUGUGGUGACUGUAGGUCAUGAAUAAGCAACGGCUAAUUACGUGCCAGCCGCUGC
rnacentral:rRNA from 1 species